UUGUUUCAAAAAAUUAGAGGUGUUUGGUAACAAACUUUUUAAACUAGCUUAUAGCUUUUUUUCAGAUGCUAUUUCAAGUAGCGUUUGAGCUUAUAGCUUAUAGCUUUUUACACUAUAUUCCAUUUUUACCCUUCAAUUUAAUAACUACCCACUCUAAAAAAAAACUACCAACUAUCAAUUAUGUAAUUUUAUAUUUAAUAAUCACUUUAAAAGCUAAUUUUACCAAACACUUUAAUUUCAAUAAGCUAGCUUUUCAGCUAUCAGCUAUAAGCUAGCUUUUCAGCUAUCAGCUAGCUUAUAGCUUAUUUUUACCAAACAGACCCUAAGUAAGUGUAUUGAAGUGACGAAGGGUGUGUUUGGUAACAUAAAUAAGCUAGCUUAUAGCUUAUUAUAUGAGCUUAUAAGCUUGUUUCAAAAAAUUAGAGGUGUUUGGUAACAAGCUUUUUGUACUACCUUAUAGCUUUUUUUCAGAUGCUAUUUCAAGUAUCAUUUGAGCUUAUAGCUUUUUACACUUUAUUUCAUUUUUACCCUUCAAUUUAAUAACUAUCCACUCUAAAAAAAACCUACCCACUAUCAAUGAUGUAAUUUUAUAUUUAAUAACCACUUUAAAAGCUAAUUUUACCAAACACUUUAAUUUCAAUAAUCUAACUUUUCAGCUAUCAUCUAUAAGCUAGCUUUUCAGCUAUCAGCUAGCUUAUAGCUUAUUUUAACCAAAGAGACACAAACACAACACAUUGAUGUAAAAACAAUUAAUAACAAUUCUUAUUUUAGGAUAUUCUUUUCCAACUUCAUAAGUGCUAAACACUAUUUAAUUUAUUAUAUGUAAGAAGAGAAUAGGAUUUAUAAAUCAUAAAGUCAUAAAAUCAUAUUCUACUUGAUACAUGGAAAUGGGGAAAAAUAAGACUAAAAUCGUCAAGUUCGUUCAUGUCAUGAUUAUCUUGAAUUACAUAAUUCUCUUCGCAAUGAUUAUUGAUGGUAAACCUUUUCUUUAUCAUUCUCAAAUUUCUUUAUUUACGUCAUAUACAAUAUUUUUAUCUCAUCAUAGUUACAUUCUUUUAUUCCCUUUUUNNNNNNNNNNNNNNNNNNNNNNNNNNNNNUCUCUUCAUUACAGCGGGUAACAGAUGUUUUCAAGAUUCUGAUUGUCCACAAAAUAUGUGCUCUCCUCCUUUUAAACCGGGGUGUUUUUAUGGGUGGUGUGUACCAGAGUUAAUCUUAGAAUGAUGCUAUAGAUUCUAGAUGUUUUCUCUUUGGGUCCCCGAUGUAUCU
rnacentral:lncRNA from 1 species